ACUAUCUGCUGGGUGGGGCCACCCGCUCAUCUGCCCAAAAUACACCCAUCUCAUCAUCUCCAUCACCAUUUUCGAUCCCCUUCUCUCUCGAACCGCUCGUGCGUGCUGCCGUCUCUGAUCUCACCAAAAUUUCAGAAUUUUCCCUCACCUGCGCCUCUCAAUCCUAUCAGAUCAUCAAACCCCUUUUCACUAGUUCCCGAUCGAGCGGCAGCAAGCAGCGGAGCAGCGCAGUCCCGCCGUAAAAGUCUCGUGAGAGAGGUCCUCGUGGCAGCCAUGGCGGAGCAGUUCGCGGACUCGGCGAACAAUGUAGUCAUCGAGGAGGUCAGCAAGGGACUGAACCCUGGAAUGAUAGUCCUCCUUGUGGUUGCGACCUUCCUGCUGCUUUUCUUUGUUGGGAAUUAUGCCCUCUAUGUGUAUGCUCAGAAGACGCUGCCUCCUCGGAAGAAGAAGCCAGUAUCGAAGAAGAAGAUGAAGAGGGAAAAACUGAAGCAAGGUGUCUCUGCGCCAGGAGAGUGAAUAGAACCACCGAUUAUGGUGUUACUGGUUUGAUUCAGAACCCGCUUCUCUUAGUAGGAAACAGGAUACAUAUACCAGCUGGAACAGCAGCGUUUACCACAACUUAUUUCAGCCAACUGAUGAACUUUAUCCCAAAUUGAGAUAUUGUGGUGUUGAUCUUUGUAAGGCUUUCGAACUGCAAGCUUUAAUAGUAGUGUCUUCUGCAAA